CCUACGGGAGGCAGCAGUGAGGAAUCUUGGUCAAUGGCCGGAAGGCUGAACCAGCCAAGCCGCGUGAAGGACGAAUGUGCCAAGCAUUUUAAACUUCUUUUGUCAAGGGACAAAAUCAGGCUCGAGAGCCUGACCGAGGGUACUUGAAGAAAAAGCAUCGGCUAACUCCGUGCCAGCAGCCGCGGUAAUACUGAGGAUGCGAGCGUUAUCCGGAUUUAUUGGGUUUAAAGGGUGCGUAGGCGGGCUGUUAAGUCAGCGGUAAAAGCCCGGGGCUCAACCCCGGCGAGCCGUUGAAACUGGCUGUCGUGAGGUGUCGAGAGGUAUGCGGAAUGCGCAGGGUAGCGGUGAAAUGCUUAGAUAUUGCGCAGAACUCCGAUUGCGAAGGCAGCAUACCGGCGGCGAUCUGACGCUGAGGCACGAAAGCGUGGGUAUCGAACAGGAUUAGAUACCCGGGUAGUC
rnacentral:rRNA from 1 species